UUGCUAUUCACCCAAAUAUGUCAUAUUGAAAAGAUUUACUUCUGAAGUAUAGUAAUAGCAUAAUUUCUAAGAUAUUUUCUGUAAUAACUAUUCAAACAAUUAUAAAAUGGAAGUUACCCGUGAAUCUGUUAUAGAUGAUGAGGAUUUUAGAAAGAUUACCGAGAAUAAUUUCCAAAUAAUCCGCAACAAAUCAGCCAAAAUUGGGUAUGCCGACGGUGUGUCAGAUGGAAAGAAAGAAACAUUUCAAAUAGCUUUUAACAAAGGAUACUCAGAUGGAUUGCGAACCGGUUUCGAAUUAUAUAAAUAUUAUAAUGAAACAAUCUCUAAAUGACUUCGUAGUGCACACUGCGGCAGAUAUACAUAAAUCCAAUUUUAAAAUUCUUAUUGAAAUCAUUUUUUAAUCAAUGUAAACAAAAUCUUCCUUUAACAACUAAUUUAUUAUGUUCACAAUGUUUAGAUUAGAUAUUUUGUUUUAUUAUUAAGAAGUACAUGAUUUUAUAAAUACAA
rnacentral:sRNA from 1 species